UACGUAGGGUGCAAGCGUUGUCCGGAAUUAUUGGGCGUAAAGAGCUCGUAGGCGGUCUGUCGCGUCGGAUGUGAAAACUCGGGGCUCAACCCCGAGCCUGCAUUCGAUACGGGCAGACUAGAGUUCGGUAGGGGAGACUGGAAUUCCUGGUGUAGCGGUGAAAUGCGCAGAUAUCAGGAGGAACACCGGUGGCGAAGGCGGGUCUCUGGGCCGAUACUGACGCUGAGGAGCGAAAGCGCGGGGAGCGAACAGG
rnacentral:rRNA from 1 species